GCUCAGUCCUCUUAUAAUGUGUAUUCUGUGGUAUAUUAAACUGUAAUUCUUUUCAUCUCCAUAAGAGGGCUUUACUCAUCAUAUCACCUUGGUUCUCUUGUAUCCUUUUACUUGGUUUGAGGUAAACUUUCGGUCAUAGUCUGGUUCUGUUUUCAAGAUUCCAAUCUGUGCCCUUCCGUUGCAGCUAUCCUCCAACCCUGGCAGCUCACCACUUUGGCCCUCAACCAGUAUUGGCUUUUAUUUUUCCGCUACUCUUUUCAUCCCUCAUUUCCCUGACCCAGGUCCUCAACUUCUAGAGAACCUAUCUCCUCUUUAUUAGCAUCUAAUACAUAGUAGGUGCUUUCAUGCCUUGGCAGUUCAAUUUCUUUCUUUCAUUCAUUCAUUCAUUCAUUCACUCAACAGACAGUAUAGAAUACCUAAUCUGUGCCAAUCACUAUGUUCAAAGAUCAACAUGAUCAAGCUGCUCCCAGGUUUCUGAGAGGCAGAAAUACAGUUUGAUCAUGAGGAAAGUGCCCUGAUGUAGAAAUACCCAAAGACAGAUCACUGAAAGAUUCCUGAAGAAGGAACACACAUUUAGAGUUCCUGUUUGGUUUCCACAGCUUAGACGUGCAGACACAUUGGAAAGUGCGACUGUGAAUGUGCUCCAGGCCCAUGGGGAUCCAAGUAAGGUGGCUGUCAGGAAACCAGGGUGCAGGCCUCCACACACUGUCUUAUAAUGAGGCUCCUUAGCAGUUUGAUCACUAGUCCCAUUGGAUGGGGUCCAGGGCGAAGCUUCCUCAUUUCUCUCUCUCUGCAUUGAAAUUGUAGCGGCAAUGUAUUUCUACUAUAUAGCUCUUCAAGGAGGAAACGUACUAAAUUGGCUUAUGUAAAUGCAUAUAGUAUUUUUUGCUAGGCUAAAAAGAGUUGGAAAUAUUAGCUUCUCAUGUAACAAUAUGGGCUUAACAUGAUAAUGAUGAAAUAAUCCUACUUAAUUCAGUUAUCACUCUAUAGACCAAGAAAUGUCUCAGAGCGAAUGUUUACCCAAGCCUCACUGUAAUUAAAUUUACAUUGCCAGCCCACAUAUUGACUUGACUAAGCCGAUUUUAUAAGAGUGAAUGAUUGGGGUGGGAAGAGACAGAAAGAUGUGAUUUUCAAGGAGAAAAAAAUAUCAAACUGACCUGCAGAAUUAA
rnacentral:lncRNA from 1 species